AAAAUUAAGAAAAGGAGAGCAGGUGAAACCCCUGGAAAAGGAGAACAGGUGAAACCCUUGAACAGGAGAUUAGGUGAAACCCCUAAAAAAAAAAAUUGUUCAAAAAAAAGGAGAGCAGGUGAAACCCCUGGAAAAAAAAAAAGAUAAAAAAUUUAAAAAAAGGAGAGCAGGUGAAACCCCUGGAAAAGGAGAACAGGUGAAACCCUUGAACAGGAGAUUAGGUGAAACCCCUAAAAAAAAAAAUUGUUCAAAAAAAAGGAGAGCAGGUGAAACCCCUGGAAAAAAAAAAAGAUAAAAAAUUUAAAAAAAGGAGAGCAGGUGAAACCCCUGGAAAAGGAGAACAGGUGAAACCCUUGAACAGGAGAUUAGGUGAAACCCCUAAAAAAAAAAAUUGUUCAAAAAAAAGGAGAGCAGGUGAAACCCCUGGAAAAAAAAAAAGAUAAAAAAUUUAAAAAAAGGAGAGCAGGUGAAACCCCUGGAAAAGGAGAACAGGUGAAACCCUUGAACAGGAGAUUAGGUGAAACCCCUAAAAAAAAAAAUUGUUCAAAAAAAAGGAGAACAGGUGAAACCCCUGAACAGGAGAUCAGGUGAAACCCCUGAAACAAAUCCGUCUAUCACACAAUUCAAGACAGUAGACCUUGCACCUUGCACGAAAGCUUGGUUGAGUAAAAAAGAAUUGUGGGUAGCAAACUAAAAAAUUUUUAAAAGGAGAACAGGUGAAACCCCUGAACAGGAGAUCAGGUGAAACCCCUGAAACAAAUCAGUCUAUCACACAAUUCAAGACAGUAGACCUUGCACCUUGCACGAAAGCUUGGUUGAGUAAAAAAGAAUUGUGGGUAGCAAACUAAAAAAUUUUAAAAAGGAGAACAGGUGAAACCCCUGAACAGGAGAUCAGGUGAAACCCCUGAAACAAAUCAGUCUAUCACACAAUUCAAGACAGUAGACCUUGCACCUUGCACGAAAGCUUGGUUGAGUCAAAAAGAAUUGUGGGUAGCAAACGGAAAAAAUAAAAAAAAGGAGAACAGGUGAGACCCCUGAACAGGAGAUCAGGUGAAACCCCUGAAACAAAUCAGUCUAUCACACAAUUCAAGACAGUAGACCUUGCACCUUGCACCUUGCACGAAAGCUUGGUUGAGUAAAAAAGAAUUGUGGGUAGCAAACUAAAAAAUUUAAAAAAGGAGAACAGGUGAAACCCCUGAACAGGAGAUCAGGUGAAACCCCUGAAACAAAUCAGUCUAUCACACAAUUCAAGACAGUAGACCUUGCACCUUGCACGAAAGCUUGGUUGAGUCAAAAAGAAUUGUGGGUAGCAAACGAAAAAAAUAAAAAAAGGAGAACAGGUGAGACCCCUGAACAGGAGAUCAGGUGAAACCCCUGAAACAAAUCAGUCUAUCACACAAUUCAAGACAGUAGACCUUGCACCUUGCACGAAAGCUUGGUUGAGUCAAAAAGAAUUGUGGGUAGCAAACGAAAAAAAUAAAAAAAAGGAGAACAGGUGAGACCCCUGAACAGGCGCACAGGUGAAACCCACUGUAAAACCGGCGAAGAGGUGAAACCCCUCAACAAGCACACAGGUGAAACUCCUGUUAAGUUAGUAAAAAAAGGAGAACAGGUGAAACCCCUGAAACCAAGAAAGUCUACCCCACAAUUCACGACAGUAGACCUUGCACCUUGCACGAAAGCUUGGUUGAGUCAAAGAGAAUUGUGAGGACUGGUAGCAAAAAACUAGUUAACGAGAUAAACGAGAUAACGAGAUAACGAGAUUAACAAGAAUAACGAUAAAAACAAAUAAAAUAACAAGAAAAACAAAAACAAAAAAAAUUAAAAAAGAAAGCGGAGAACAGGUGAAACCCCUGAAAAGGAGAUGAGGUGAAACCCCCCAAACAAAGCAAAAACAAAAACAAAACAGAAGAAAAAAGAGAAAAUAAAGACGUGUACUUCAUUAUUUGACUGUAAAGUGUUUCUUUCUUAUGAGUUUGAAAAAUUACAAAGAGAGUGAAUAAAAUUGGAGUCAAGAGGACAAGUGGUGUUGAGUAAUCUGAAAGAGUUUAUUUUACUAAGGUUAUUUUUCUUUUAGGAUAGCAGAGUGAGGAAUAUAUAAUUAAGAGAAUAACAUUCAGAAGUUUAGAGACUCUCAAGAGAAAGAAGUGAGUAAUAAAUUAUAUAUACUGAAAAAGGAGACGAGAAUUUAUAUCCAAUUAAGUCUAGAGAUACAGCUGGGCUUGAAUCGUUGAGGAAAGAGUAUUUGAUUAUUUACAGAGUUUUUAGAGGGAAAAAAAGGUGAGGAGAAUUGAAGUAAUAGGAGUAAGUUGUAAUUACAAGUUAGCUUGAGUGGUUGUGAAGAAAAUAUUGAUUAAAAAGUGUUUAGAUUGAAAGUAAAGAUGUGAGCUUGAUUAGGUAGAGUAUUGUGAAUAAAAUUGAAGUCUAGGAAACAAGGUUGAGAAGUACUAGUGGACUUAAUAAUUUCAGAGGAUAUUUGAUCAAAUAUAUUUCUUAUUUAAGGAAGAAAUAAGGCUGGUUAAUCAGAAAAUAAGUGAUCAAAAUUGUGCUAAGAGACAAAAGGCUAGAGGUUUACAACUUUUGCAAACAAGAAAAAAAGUGGCCUUGAUAUAUUAUAAACACAGUUUGUAAAUUGAGAAUAAUUGAAGCUUAUGAGAUCCAGAUAAACAAGUAGGCUCGAGUAGUUCCAGAGAGGGUAUUUUAUCAUUUGCAGAGUUUGAUGAAAAGAAGCACACCUGAUAUAAAAGAAUAAGGCUCAGAAGUUCAUAGAUUCAUAAGAAAGAAGUGACUGAUGAACUAUACUGAAAAAAGAUAUGAGCCUCUAAUGGAAGCAGAUGAUGAUGAUGAUGAUGAUGAUGACAAUAGCAAUAAGAACAUCAAAACCUUCAAGCAGACAAGGCAAGUUAAGGGAGCAAGGAAGAGAUUCUGCUAAGCACUCCAACCGAAGAACGUGUAAUAUUCUGGGAAAGAUGAAGGAUUUGAGACGGUACAGAGUUCAUGCAGGAGGCAAACAAAGGAACAAGAAAGGUCAGCCGACGUACCAUGAUAGAAGGGAAGAGAGGAUAACAUUAGGACGUUAUCUGCUGAACCGAUUGAUGCAUGUUGACAACAGAUGUCAAAAGGGAGGAGAAUGUUUAUCUGAUAUCUUAGAAAAGCAAGAAGGAAAGAAUAAAGGGUACCAACAAGAACCCAAACACCAACAAUGUGAUAACUCCUCUUGGGGAUUACUGCCUGACUUGCGGUUAUUAGACCGCUUUUCAUCUAAUGAUUUGGGACCAUGUAGGAGUGUGCAUAGUGUACAAAGCCAUUCAUUUAUGCAGUUUCACUCCAUUGGAGUUCGAAUGUUCAUUGUUGAUGGAACUAGCUGGAUUGUGAUGAUUUCUGGGUUUUCUACGAAGAUUGCAGUGUUGGGUACCGGAAUCUGACCCUAGAAAGUGAUUGUUUUGGUCCUUGGUAUGGUUUUUAACCUGUAUCUGCCCUAGUCGGAGGUUUUUUCUUUUCCAAUUUGUUAUAUACUGAACAACUGUUGUGCUCAAGUGGGAAAUUAAAUUCCGCUCACAACCUACAACUCUCGUCGUAUCGUGUCUUGUGUUCUGGAGUGUCCUGACAACUUCCCCCAAAAAUCCAGAAUACUACAUUAUGUCAGUUCAAAGUUUUUCUGUAUUCAGCAAAACAGUUGUAUACACAUCAUGCUUUGUAUGCAAUUUAGAAAGUGAUGACAUCAAGUCACUAUUUCUUUUGUAUUUUUAUUAAAUAAAAUAUGAAAUAUUUCAUUUUUUUCCUCCUUAGAAAACAAACCAAGUUUGAUUCUAUUCUCACAUUCUUCAUAAACCAUUGAUAAAACCUGUUGUGAAGAAAUUAAGUGUAUCUGUGUUAUCAUAUUUUCAAAAACAUGAAAUUUGGUAUGAUUUAUGUAAUAAAAUGCAAAAAAAGUAGUGAGUAUGUGACAUCAUCAACUCAUUGAUUUGGACAUGACCACGAUUUGGUUAUAACUGUUUUGUAUAAGAUAACCAAUAUUUUAAAAUUACAUUACUUUCUUAUUUUCCAUGCAAUUUGUAUUAAGUGUGUGACAUAAUGUUUCCUAGAUUGUCCUCUUUUGGUUCAAAUCAAUUUUUGUUGGGGGUGGACUACUCCUUUAAGGAAAGUGUCUUAAAUUGGUUACUUAUGUUACAUUUUUGUAUUGUUUUAUAUUAUCCAUUUACUACUGUUUUAUUUGUCACUGCACUUGAGUGUUUCGUGAUUACCAAUGUAUUCAGAUAAUUGGAAAUUCAGUUUUGCUGUUGUGAUUCUUUUGUGAAAUGGUGAUUGAAUGUAAAAAAGAAAAUUUGCAUCCAUUUUAGAUUUCAGUUCAUAUGUCUGCCUUUUGGAGAAACAGUUACCUGACUAGAUUUCAAAGUGUGAAGAUUGAAGGUCUAUAGUGUUUUUUUGUUCAUGGAAAUAGAAAGUAAGAAAUAUUUUUCUGGUCGGGCAGUGGCGGAGGCAUACAUUUUGACCGUGCACAGUCGAGAUUUAUCUAGUUUUCAAUGAGAAUUGUGGCAACAUCAUUUUAAUCACCAAAAAACAUAGAUUGUUUUGACUGAGUAAAAGUAGAAAUAAUGACACAUUUAUGAAUUUUGGGAGAAAAGUUUAUUUGAUUUGUUUUGAUCAUUACAGCAUUUUAAAGCCUGACAGUCAUUUACAUAAUAUUGCAUAACUUGAGAACCACAUAUAUGAAUUUGAUAUGGAACAAUGUGCAAAGCUUGUAUGUAAAUUGUGUUGAACCACUGUGUUGAUGAGUUCUCAACAUUGUCAGUUUUCACAGUUGAUUUAACACCACAAAAAAUUAAGCCAGUUAUAUUUAAAGAGAUCUUCAUUACCAAUUGACCUGCGUGAAUGGUAAAACAUCCCACUAUUCAUAAAGGAAAGUUAUUAUUUUAGUUUCUCUUUAUACAUCAGUAACUGACAUUGUCUAAAGCAAGCUAAAGAAUUUUUAUUCCUCUGCUCAUCAAAAGUGGUUGCCGGUGGCAUUAUGUUUUGGAUUAUCCGUCUGUUCGUCCAUCCGUUCAUCUGUCUGUUCAUUCCAUUUUUGUUCUCGCAGUAACUCAAAAACCAUUUCACAGAUCAACUUCAACUUGGACCAUAUAUGCAUUAGGUGCUCAAAAUGAUUUCACACAUGCGUAUGCAUGUAUGUAUCGUUAGAAAAAAAUUAAUAUUCAUAUUCUGUUGGUACAUGAUCUCAUUAUUUAGGGUUAACAGAUCAAGGUCAAGGUCAGAAAGUUCAAGCAAGUACAUAAUAAAUACUCUGUUCUUGCUACAACUCAAAAACAGUUUCAUGGAUUCACUUGAAACUUGAAUCCUGUAUGGAAUGGCGGUGAAGAAGAUCUCAUCAGUUUAAAGGUCAUGAGGUCAGAGGUCAAGUUCACAAAAUUAAAAAAAAAUAGAUAAAAAUACUCAUUUUUACUUUUACAAUUUUGUAGAUCAUCUUGUAACUUUGAUUGUGUAUGCAUCUGUAAUGAAUUUUUGCUUUUCGCUUAAUGGACUUUUUGCAAAAAAUAUCAAACAACAAAAAUGGUCUACUCCACCAGGCCCCCCCCCCCCCCUCUUCCCAGUGAAUUGUUAAACUAAGCAUCACUUUUCUGUUUAGAUGCAGUAUUUUGCAAUAAUACAUUAUAUGAAUGAAACUUUAUGUAUGUAGUCUGUGUAUGUAUUUAGGAUCCCUAUGAUAUUGGAAUAACAAUGUAAGCCCAAGCCUUCAGGGCUUUGGGUAACAGUUAAAAUGCUGUGAACCUUUUAAUUUGAUUAUUAUGAAUUAUUUGUUGAUCAUUGUUAUUGUAUUUAUAUUUUCUUUUUUAUGUUCAGAAAUCUGUCAUUAUCUUUUAUGGCUUUUGAUUGUACAAAUAAAGAUAGAAAAUAAAAAUACUAAAGAGUA